UCAGUCAUGCCUGUGUAAUGAAGCCUCUAUAAAAACCCCAAAGGACGGAGCUGGGAGAGCUUCUGGGUUGUUGAAUGCGUGGAGGUGGGGAGAGUGGUGUGCCUAGGGGGCCAUGGAAGCUCUGCUCCCCUUUUCCCCACCUUGCUCUGUGCAUCUGGCUAUUCCCGAGUUCUAUCUUUUUAGGAACCAGUGAUGCAAAACCAGGUGCUUGGAGAUGCUAUUUACUGAGAAAUGGAAGAAUGGAGGAGGAAGGUGAGCACGGGGAAGGCCAAGAGCUCCAUCUUGCACAGAGCCUGUGGAAUCCCAAGAAUCGGGUAGAAGAGUCUUUAUCAAAGGAGGAGGCGUGGCCAAAGAGGUGGGAGAAAAAGAGAAAGCUUUCAAAGGGAGCUGCCAACUUUCUCAGGUGUGGACUGAAGCGUGUCCGGUGGAUCGGGCAAGCUUUAAAACACUGCAUUCCGCAGAAAUUGCUCCAAAGAGGUCAAGAGUGACUUCCACCACUAGGAGCCACAUUGCUGUUGUCAAGGAGGAAAGCUGCAGAGAAGCAAGACAGGAAGACUACAGUGGACCCCACGGUGCUGGAGUAGAGUCAAGAGACAGCAGUAUGGACUUAGGCUUGGCUUAACAUAACGUGCACAUACAGAUAGAUAGACACAGAAACAACUAUAGAUACACGUGUAUACAUGUAUGAGCUACCUGUAUUACUAGCCCUGUCUGCUGAGGGGGCUAAGCAGUAGUGAGCACCCCAGUAGCAGUGAGCACAGUCAAGGUCUAGAUUUGAUUUCUAAUACCAUUCCCCGAUAGAAGAAACCAGGACCCCUUGAAGAAGUGGCUGUUCUUCCUCACCCCAGCUGAGGAAAUAUACAAGAUGAGGUGAGGAAAAUACAAGACGAGCUGGAGCAUCUUGUAGUACCAGAAAGUAGCAAAUGCUUAAAAAAAAAAAAAAAAGAAAGAAAGGAGGAAAGAAAAAAGAGAAAGGAGGAAAGAAAGAGAAAGGAGGAAAGAAAAAAGAAGAAAAGUUUUAGUCCAGGACAUCACGGAUCCUGGUUCUCUUUUCAUCUCACUGGCUAAUUGUCCUUAAUCUCCUUUGCUGAUACUUUCUCAUCUCUCUGAUUUCUAAACAUCGGAAUGUCCCAGGGCUCAGUUUUUGGACUUUUUCUAUGGGGAGAUCACUCCUGGUGAUUUCAUCCAGUUUCAUGGCUUUAAGUGCUGCCUCCAGACCCCAAAUUUCUAUCUUAGCUAAGCCUCUUCUCUGACCCCAGGUUGUAUAUACAGCUGUCUACAUGACCUCUCAGCUGGAUGUCAGCAAGCAGUUAAAAUUCACCUUGACCCAAACUGAGCUCCUGGUCUCCCCCACACAAACUUGCUCUUCCUAUAGUCUGCCCUAUUUUCAUGAUGGCAACUUCCUCCUUUUGGUUGCUCAGGUCAAAACUUUGGAGUCCUCUUUGACUUUUCUCUUUUUCUCUUACCUCACAGUUCAUUAGAAAAAUUCAGCUCUACUUUCAAAAUAUAUGCAGAAUCCAGUCACUGCUCCCCACCUUCAUGGCUACCACUAACUCCAAAUCACCAGUGUCUCAUCUAGAUUACAGAAACAUUUCGAACUGGCCUCCUUGCUUCUUCCGCUGACUUUCUCAGUCCGUUCUCCACAUAUUAACAAGUGAUCCUAUUAAUAUGUGAGUCAGAUCAUGCCCACUCUUUGCUCAAAAUCCUUCAUUUUCCCAACUCUAAGAGUCAAAAUCCUUUCAAUUACGUAGAAGCUUCUACAUGAUCUACGUACCCCACAGUGCGUCCUGACUUGGGAUCCUAUGAAUCUCCUGCUCUCUCGUUCCAUUCCGGUGACACCAAGGGUGCCUUAGGAUCUUUGCACUCACUGCACUUUUUGCCAGGAACGCUGAGUUUGUGGCAAUUUGUUUUGCGGCAACAGAAAACCGAUGCAAAUGGAAUGAUAUGAAAUUGCUGGUAAUCAGCCACAGUUGGCCUUCACAUUGGCAGUUUCUUAUAGUUCUACCUGUUGUGCCAUCCGUCCUUACUCUGAAAGCCCCAAUUUUCUUUCCCUGCUUAUUUUCCCACAAAGAAUGUAUCACCAUCUAUUUUACCAUGUUUUUCUGUUCACUUGUGAUUUCUCACUAGAAGACGGCCAGACACCUUAACGUGUUUCGUUCAUGUUGUAUAUUCCCAAGCUUACGGGGAUGUAUGGCAAAUAGUAGAAAUUCAGUAAAUGUUUGUAAAAUGUCAGAGGAGGUAGGUGGAGGAAGUGGGAAUUAACAUAAACCACUUUGCUGGACAAAAACCUCGAGCUGAAAAAUCUGGUGGGAAAUAAAACAAUAAUAACAACAAACCCAGGAGUUCUGCACCUGCCCUUGAACUGUGGCAUUUCCAGAAACUGGCAUUCUAGGGCAUUUUAGUUUCUGUGUUGAAAUGUUUUUGAUUUAACACAAAACAAAUGAAAAUAAAAACUGGCAUGGAAUACCCUCAGAUGACCAGGUCAGAAAAUCUAGCCAAAUUUAGAAAAUUAGAAAGGGAAACAACAGCAAUCAAGUGGCCACGUUCUUCAAUUCCUCCAUUUGAGGCUAAUGUGGGACCCAGGGAAGAAACACGACAGGCUUCUGAGGAGAGGCUGGGCACUUGGCAGCCGCUCUCCCCUCUGCCCCCAGGACAGGUGAAUGCCUGUGUAUGGAUGAGGGCCCUUUAGACUGAGGUGGAAGA